rnacentral:lncRNA from 1 species
GUUGUAUCAGUGGAAGCCAAUGAAAAUUGAGGCCAGGAAAUAUAGUGAACCUUCAGCUCAACUACUUCUCUAACCAUGGGGUCUCAGCAUGUAGUGAGUAGCUGGUGUCGUGGUUCAGCAGGAUGUCAGUGGCUUGGGACUGUCCUGCAUGACUUUUGCUUCUGCUGUGUUAUCCAGCCUCAAUUCUGCCUACUUCUUAUCCUGCGUGUUUUGGAGCUGGAAUCUGUCAUCACUGGCCUCUGCUUGGUGUUUCCUUCAGAAGCCUGAAUGAAUCUGGAAUCUCUUGUGCUGAUCAAAGACACUAAAUACCCUUACUGCUAGUUGAUGGUGAAUCCUGAGCCCGCAAGGAAAAUGGGACCUUCUUUCAUCUUGCUGAAGAACUACUGCAGCAUUAGUUCCUUGGAGACUGGAUGCUUUGAGUGACACAUGACUGACAUCUGCACAUUAAGUCAACAAUGAUAUCUGAGCUGUGCUUUAUGAAGUUACUGUUAUCUCCCUUAGUUUUCAGGAACAUUGCAGAAAGCUGAGUUAGAUGCUGUGUAAUGAGUCAUGACAGUUGGCAUUCUGUAAUCCUUCAUGUAGCACCAUGGUAAUAAAUUGUACAGGGUGCUUUUUUUGUAGUGUUUUGAUAAUUCCCAUUCUGGAGAAGACUAGAGCGCGCAAUGGAACAAAGUGAAAGAGGAAAAAUUAACAUAGAAAAAUGUUUUGUAAAUUCCUCUGUUUAGGUUCAUGCUUAUUUCUGCCUGACAUUUCUGUGCUUGCUAAUUCCUUCACCAUUCGCACUGGGAGCCUCUAAUGCAAUCAGGGAAACAUGGCCCUGGAUGCUUACUUUUGCUUCUCCAGUACUAAUUAGUUGCCUUCAUAAACAUGUUUGAGAUUAGUAGCUACCCUUAACACAAAAAGACUAAUGGCGGCAUGGUUUGAUAGAUCAAACCUUGGGGAUCACCUGUUCUACCACUCUCCACAAGCUAUUCCUUUCCUUCCUCUGACUAAGGCAAACUGGACUCAGGCCAUAGGUUCAGCCGUUCUUGAAGUGUACAGACUAUAUUGCUUAGGAGCCUUGAACCUGGGGCCAGUCAAGAAAUUGUGCUAACAAAUUUCUCUCUCGUCUUCUGGCAUAAGCUCCUCCAAAUCAAGUUUUAAAACUAACAUCCACCUUGGAGAUGGUUAAAGUAUCAUUAUAGUUCAAGUUGCCCUUUGGUUACCCAUAUCUCUUCAACUGCUCACAAGUCUAUACUUUGCCUUAACACAGCCAUAAAUUCACAAAGGUGUUAUGUCUGAAAAAUGUGAUUGGGAGUGAGCUGGUCAUUUACAGUUAUGAUCCACUUAUUCCCAGUCUGAUUCUCUUUUCCUCUCUCUGAUCUGUAUUUUAAUGAAAUCCUAUUGAUGUUAUUUCAAUUAGUCCCUCAACAGUUGUCUAUCAGCCAGGCCUUCUGCCAUUCCAAGCUCUGUAUUGUACCUUAAAAGCAAAAGUUUUAUUUUUUAUUUUUUUAAGAUGAGUAAGUAAAAAUUUCUCCAGAUAAAACUACAGUGGCAAAUUGAGAUCUGAGUAUAAACCUGAUGUGACUUUCAGCGUGACAUUUCAGUACAUAGCAUCAUUGUGCUUAGUAAUAAGCAUCAGCAGGGCAGGCUUGAAGUGUCUCUUCUAAAUGGCACAUAUAUUCAGGACAUGUGGAUCAUCUUGAAUACUUCUCAUCAACUAUUUUUUCCUGUUUCAUCCUUGCAUUAUUAUAUGCUUUGCUAUAGAAAAUAGCUUGCCACUUAUAUCUGCACAAGUGCUACGGAACUGGGAUUAAGCUGAGAGACAUCUGCAUUGAGGCCAAAGAAAGUUGUUUUUGCUGUAGUGAUGUUUCUUGGGGUGGAGAGGGGGAAGGGUAGGGGGGUAUUUAAGGUCUCUUCUAGAUUUUGAAAACAGUUGCAACCCCAGAACAGUUGCUAAAGGAAAAAGUUAGCACUUCACAAUGGAUUUGUGCCUCAUGUUUAGGAAAUGUAUCACUGGUUUCUCAGUGGUAUUUCUAAGAGUAAGGUAUCAUGUGGACAGGUGUCAUGAAGUCUUUUUAAAUACCUAUGAAUUAGAAUUAAGGUUAAUAAUCCGUUAGUAUCUGCUGUUGUCAGAGCUCUUCAGAUCUGAGCAGCAGUCUUCUUUGGAUUUACUGCAAGCUGUUGCCAUGAAAACAACCCUUGCAACGUCAGUCCCUGUUCCCAACCACUUUGCCAAUGCAACCUGUAAAAUCUCCUCUGCUACUGCUGUUGCCCCUGUUACACAGCUCUGAUAGAUCAACCCCACUAUGAUGGCUCUCCUGUCAUUGCAAAGCUCUCCUUUCCAAAAACAAAAAUACUGUUGUUUGGUUAGUUUUUAUUGAACACUGUUUGGGUUUUCAGCUUGAGCUGCUGAGUUCACAAUUCCCAAAGGAUCUCUGUAGUAGCUAGCUGUUGUUUUUGCCAUACCUAGGACUAGUUUUCUUAUAGAAUCCCAUAUUCAAAUUCUGGGGUGUGCAGCUUUUGUGGGAAUUGGAGCAUUUUUCUGGAAAAAGAAAUCAAGGUGUUGCUUCUUUGACUGUCCUGAGUGGCCUACAAGACUCUAGGGAUCAUAUUUUUAUUUCCUUUUGACUGUAUCCUUGUAGAAACAGCAGUAAAAUAAGAAAACAGCUUUACAGUAAAGAUAUUAUGUGCAGCAGGGUUGUUUAUCCAUCAGAAACUUGCAGAUUUACAACAUUUAGUGUAGACGUAUUUGACCAAACCCAAGUAUUACCCAAUCUUUUUGGGAAAAAAAAAAUAAUCUCUGAUUGCAUUCUCUCUGAUAGCAGAUGCAAUUCAAUACAAACCUGACAAAUUAUCCCAAGUCAGAUAUUGCAAUAAGGAGUGAAUAGAGAAAAUUAAGAUAUUGCUGAAACAAGCUUUUGUAUGCUAAUGUGAAGCUCACAACACAAUAGAUGCUUGGCCCAACAGACCCAAUACCAGAAGUUCAUUAUUUUGAUUCUACUGUUACAUUUUCACAAGAUUACAGUUUCACAAGAUGUUUCUGUGCAUGUGUUUGUGUAAAAUAAGGGAAAGCAAUGAUUUUGAAUGCUACAGAAAUACAGGUCAGCCAAGUUUGAAUUUUAGUAACCUUAGGAUGACUCUACAUAUUUUUUAAUAGCUUUUGAUUUUGUAGAAUGGAAACUUUUCGAAAAAAAUCCAACCAUCUCAGGAGUAUCGUCUCUUUUUGGGGGGGGAGGGGAGAAGGGAGGAAAAAAAAAAAACGAAUCAUGAAGUUAAUACAAAUGACAAUAGAAUCAGGAUGUUAAUUUUAAAGGUCUACAUUUAAGGAAUUAGGGAUCAGACCAAAAUUAAUGACUAUGUCAUGGGAGCAUAUGGUAUUUCUGCUCAAGGUGUUAAAGUUGUCAGUGACAAAAAAUUCAAAAGGCCUGAGAGGUUCUUCUGGAAAGAAAUGCUUUGAUUACACACAAAUCUGUACUGUUAACCUAAAGUGUAGUAUUUGAUGGGGGUUGAAUGUUAAAAAGCUGAUAAAUAAAAGAAUAAGAUAAAUGCUUUUGUUCUCCUUGUAAUAAAAUUUGGAAAAAUAAGUUUCCUCUCCUAGUUUCCCUGUAGAUUUUAGUCAAAUGUAGCUUCAUGUAUUUAAGUCUCAAUGUCUUUUGCAUGAGGCAGGUCUGAG